CUAGAAACUCCCCAUAGGGUUUUUAUCCCUUUCUCUCAGGCAUGAGAUCAGAGUUCUUGCUGACGAUUGAGGUCCGGGUCGCAGGGGCAGCAGUCUCAGGAGGAAAGCCCGGACUUAUAUACCGGAACACCUCACCAGGUAGGUGUACAGGAGGCAUCCGGACUAGAUCAUUGAGCCACCUCAACUGGCUCCCCUCGGUGUGAAGGAAAAGCGGCUCUACUCUGAGCUCCUCCCGGAUGACUGAGCUCCUCACCCUAUUUCUUCGGGAGGCAGAGGGUCAAGUCAGUGUCCUGGAGAGGGCGAACCCCAUAUAGGCAGCCUCAAUGAGGAUGCCAUGUGAUCUCUGCAAAGUCAACAAGCCUUGGUCCACAGCUGGGAUUCAGCAGAACACAGAGCCCACACAUAGCAACACCCUCCUGCUGAGAAAAGCCUCGGAGACACAGGAUUCAUAGCUCAUCUAAUACAUUCUACAGUAGAAUUCUACCUUCCCAAACAUUCUUUUUCUAUUUUUAGCAACUGCUUAGUUGUUUAGUUUUGCUAGAUUUUUUAAAUUUCUCUUUCUAUCUCCCCUUUGCCAGUGAGUCAGCACACAUUAGAAUAUGUUCAGUUUUCUUUCCACAAAUGGCACAUGCUUUUUUGCAUCACAUUAAAUCACAAUGGCAAUGCUUCUCCUCGUCCAAAGAACUGGCUUUGAACAAAGGUGCAGCGACGUGUUGGUAGCAGAGAAUCUAAAAAGCACAAUGUGGGAAUAAAACAGAGGGGAGUGAGCAUCAAAGGCAGGCAGGCACAGCAGGACUGGCAUCGGUGUGAACUCCCAACUUAGGACACUCAGCAUGAUCUUCACCAAUCGCCCCCUUUAGAUCAGUCCUGGGUAGUUAUUAGAACCAUCAUUCCCACUGCCUCAGUAUCUCAUUAGCCACACGAUCCCAGGCUUUCAUCCAUGCUUUUCCAAAAAUAUCACCCCACACCAGUAAAGAUGAGACCCACACAAGCAACAAGCACAUCUGUCACAUCUGGGAGUAUAACGCAACACAUUUUAACUGUCAAACAAAUCAGCCUCCACAACAGAUGUUUAAAAAAAAAAAAAAAAGGUCCGCAUGGAAAUGCAUUCACAGCCAAUCAAGCAUGCCAAAGUGACAUGUGGAAUAAAAUAGUCUCAGAGGUGGGUGAAUGGAUCCAAAUAUUGAUGUUAUAGAUAUGUAUGUAUGUAUAUUAUAUUUAAGAAAAGUACACUGGAAAUAUACAGUAUAGUAUAUG